rnacentral:pre_miRNA from 11 species
GAUGAGGAGUUUGUGCGUGACUCUAAAACCGCCUGAUCUAAACCUUUUCCCGAUGCGAUACCUUUUCUAUGGUCUUAGAUUCACGCACAAACUCGUAAUCUGUCU